UUUCGGUCCAACCAGAAUUGGUUGGACCAGGUCUCGUUGAACCGAGACCUGGUCUCGUACGAGACCUGUUCUUUGUUAGCAGGUCUCGUACGAGACCUGCUAACGGGAAUCAAGGGGGCAGUUUUGCCCCCUGAUUUCUCGAGAUUGCUUGCGUUUUUAAAACUCGUUUUCUAAAUCAAAAUUCUUCACCACACAUCAGUCUAGCCCUAGCCGCCUUCCUCAUUCAAUUUCGCUGAGAAUCCUUUCCGAAAUCAUCAACCAAAGUUUGUCAAAAAAUCAUCGGUUCCGCUUCCUUCCAGAGAUAGAAGACUCGUGUAUCUACAAAUCCCAAUUUUUGUUUCGUCAAACGUCGUUCGGAGGUCGAAAUCAAUUCUGUUUGAUUCCCGUGAAAGUAGACUCACGCAUCUACGUUUCUACACCUUUCGUUCGUCAAACGGUACGUAAACGAACCCGUAACAAUCGCCGCCAUCUUAUCGUAUUUCAUUGAUUAAAAACUAUUUUUCUUUUGGAAUUGAUACUGCUGAUUUCAUUAAGCCAUUUAGCUAUGGGUUUGUUUCCUUUUGGGGUUAUGAUUAUGCUAGAGUAUGAAUAUAAACUUGGGUGUAAAAUCAUUAAACUCUUAACUAAUGUUUAUUUUUCGGUUUCAUGAUUCAUCGUUUUCUUGUUAUCCCGGUUUUAAAGUUUCUGAAACUAGAUCCUUUGAUUUCAGAUUCUUCCUUUUGUUGGCAAUGACUCUUAUGAUUUGA